rnacentral:rRNA from 1 species
GGUGAACGCUGGUAACGUGAAUACCGGCAUGCAAUUCAAGGGGGCCCGCAAGGGCAACCGGCAAACGGUUUAUUAACACGUAAAUACAUACCUUAAAGUGGGGCAUACCUCGUCAAAAAACGGGGUAAUUUCCCAUAUUCCCUUACGGGUAAAGCACCAAUGCCCUUUAAAAAUGGUCUGCGGCCUAUCACCUUGUUGGUGAGGUAAUGGCUCACCAAGGCUAUGACGGGUAGGGGGCGUGAAAGCGCGACCCCCAGAAAUGGCACUGCAACACGGGCCAUACUCCUACGGAAGGCUGCAUUCAAAAAUCUUCCGCAAUGGGCAAAAGCCUGACGAACCGACUUUACUUGAAUGAAAAAACUUUUCGGAGUGUAAAGUUCUUUUCUCUGGAAGGAAUUUAUUGACAGUACCAAAGGAAUAAGGGGAUCCUAUUUCUGUGCCACCAC